rnacentral:rRNA from 1 species
CGGACGGGUGAGUAAUGUCUGGGAGACUGCCUGAUGGAGGGGGAUAACUACUGGAAACGGUAGCUAAUACCGCAUAACGUCGCAAGACCAAAGAGGGGGACCUUAGGGCCUCUUGCCAUCGGAUGUGCCCAGAUGGGAUUAGCUAGUAGGUGGGGUAACGGCUCACCUAGGCGACGAUCCCUAGCUGGUCUGAGAGGAUGACCAGCCACACUGGAACUGAGACACGGUCCAG